rnacentral:lncRNA from 1 species
UGUCGGCGACGGUAACCUGUCGUCGACACCCCCACAUCCAUCGGAACCUGACACGAACAACCAAACGGUCGGAGUAACAUAGAUCUUUACAGAUCUGAAAGUAGAAGAGGAGAAGAUGACGAGUUAAUAAAAAAAACAGUUUACCGGAGAAUUUCUUGGAUUCGCGUCUGCUGUCCGGAACCUCCGCCGCCGUUGACGACUGCAUCGGCUCCACCGGGUUCUCCCCCUCUCCUCUCGAACCGUCUCUCUCUCUCCUCUGAUUCUUGGCCAACCGUCGCUCACCACCACCCGAUGAUGGUGGUGGUGGUUCGUUUUGUCCAUCAGGGGGGGGUCUCGCCUGACCGGAAAGAAACGCCGGCUUACCGGCUCCUUGUGCUGAUCUGAACAGGGGGGGUGCUUGUGUGCGUCGGCCGACCGGAGAGGUGUCGGCCGGAGGUCCGAUCUCCGGUGCUUUAGAGGAAGAGAGCAGAGAGUUGAAGAGGGGAACUGUUGGUAGGUGUGGUUGAUUGUAUUUGAGAAGAUGAAGUUAUAGUUGAGAUGAACAACAGAAGGUAG